AUAUACAGGGUGACCAGUCCUGUCUAGCCAUUCUUCUCCAGACCACGGAAGACUGCACAACCACUACUACUACUACUACUACUACUACUACUACUACUACUGCUACAAUGAGUGUCCUGCCUACUCCAGCCUUUAUUGCAGUAGUUAUUCUCUCUGUGUGCCUGCCUGCUCAAAUUUUAGCCUUCCCCAGCCAUUCUUCCAUCCCCACUCCUGUUAUUGUCAAUGGGUCGAGAGUUGAAGUCGGUUAUAUGAAAGAAGUGUUUGUUUUUUGUCAUGCUGCUGCUACUACUACUACUACUACUACUACUGCUACUACUACUGCUGCUGCUACUGCUAUUACUAAGAUUCAGUGGCUUGACUCCUCCGGUUCUCCUGUUCCUAAUUGGUCAGCUGGCGCCCACGUGUAUCAGCUGGGCUUGGGAAAAUACCUGCUACAUGCUUACCUCGUCUUCCUGGACUUCCGGAGGGUGCAGGAGGGCGUGUACACCUGCAAGGCCACUGGGAGAGAGGGAGAGGGAGAGGCGCGGCGGAGUGUGACUGUAUCUGGCGCUGCGUGAAAUUUUAUUUAUUUAUUUAUUUAUUUAUUUUUGUUUCGUUGUUGAAAAUCCUGUUAUUUAUUUGUCUUGAAUUUCUUUGCUCUCUCUCUCUCUCUCUCUCUCUCUCUCUCUCUCUCUCUCUCUCUCUCUCUCUCUCUCUCUCUCUCUCUCUCUCUCUCUCUCUCUCUCUCUCGUUCCAAUGACAGUUUAACAGUUUAACAGGCUGCAGGGGAAGUUAUUGGGGUUCUCAAGGGUGUUUUCAAGGUUCCUGUGACAGUUUAACAGGCUGCAGGGGAAGUUAUUGGGGUUCUCAAGGGUGUUUUCAAGGUUCCAGUGACAGUUUAACAGUUUAACAGGCUGCAGGGGAAGUUAUUGGGGUUCUCAAGGGUGUUUUCAAGGUUCCUGUGACAGUUUAACAGGCUGCAGGGGAAGUUAUUGGGGUUCUCAAGGGUGUUUUCAAGGUUCCAGUGACAGUUUAACAGUUUAACAGGCUGCAGGGGAAGUUAUUGGGGUUCUCAAGGGUGUUUUCAAGGUUCCUGUGACAGUUUAACAAUCACUCUUCAACUCAAUAAUGAAAACACCCUUGAGAACCCCGCCAGUCAUCCCUGUGGCUUUAGAAAACAUUGAUGCAGGAACUAAGAGAGAAGCAGACACUCUUAUACACAUCCUUACAAUCUUACGAGGGUGAAAAAAAAUAUUAUUGUCAUAUUCAUUAUUUAUUGUAUCAUUUCUUUAUUUGUUGUGUUUUUUGUUAAUUUUGUUUGUUGUGUUAAGUUAUUUAUUUGUUUUUUUUAUAUGUAUUUAUGUGGUUUUAUGUUUUUGUUUAUUUAUUUAUUUAUUUUUUUUGUAAUAAAUUUCAUAUAUUUAG